rnacentral:rRNA from 1 species
AUUGAACGCUGGCGGCAUGCUUUACACAUGCAAGUCGAACGGUAACAGGCCGCAAGGUGCUGACGAGUGGCGGACGGGUGAGUAAUGCAUCGGAACGUGCCCAGUCGUGGGGGAUAACGCAGCGAAAGCUGCGCUAAUACCGCAUACGAUCUAUGGAUGAAAGCGGGGGACCGUAAGGCCUCGCGCGAUUGGAGCGGUCGAUGUCAGAUUAGGUAGUUGGUGGGGUAAAGGCCCACCAAGCCAACGAUCUGUAGCGGGUCUGAGAGGACGACCAGCCACACUGGGACUGAGACACGGCCCAGACUCCCACGGGAGGCAGCAGUGGGGAAUUUUGGACAAUGGGCGCAAGCCUGAUCCAGCAAUGCCGCGUGCAGGAAGAAGGCCUUCGGGUUGUAAACUGCUUUUGUACGGAACGAAACGGUUCGGGUUAAUACCCUGGGCUAAUGACGGUACCGUAAGAAUAAGCACCGGCUAACUACGUGCCAGCCGCCGCCGUAAGAC